UACAGAGGUCCCAAGCGUUGUUCGGAAUUACUGGGCGUAAAGAGUGUGUAGGCGGUGUUCUAAGUCUGUCGUGAAAUCUCCCGGCUUAACUGGGAGGGUGCGGCGGAAACUGGAAUGCUAGAGGGUGGGAGAGGAAAGCGGAAUUCCUGGUGUAGCGGUGAAAUGCGUAGAUAUCAGGAGGAACACCUGCGGUGUAGACAGCUUUCUGGACCGCUUCUGACGCUGAGACACGAAAGCGUGGGUAGCAAACAGG
rnacentral:rRNA from 1 species